GUCGAACGGGAUUUUUUGUGUAGUAAUACAUAAAAAGUCUAGUGGCGAACGGGUGCGUAACACGUGAGCAAUCUGCCGGGAAGUGGGGGAUAGCUCGCCGAAAGGCGAAUUAAUACCGCAUGUGGCCAGAGGGGACAUCCCUUCGACGCCAAAGUCGCAAGACGCUUCCUGAUGAGCUCGCGGCCUAUCAGCUUGUUGGUGAGGUAAUGGCUCACCAAGGCUUUGACGGGUAGCUGGUCUGAGAGGACGACCAGCCACACUGGAACUGAGACACGGUCCAGACACCUACGGGUGGCAGCAGUCGAGAAUUUUUCACAAUGGGGGCAACCCUGAUGGAGCGACGCCGCGUGGAGGAUGAAGGUCUUCGGAUUGUAAACUCCUGUCAUGCGAGAACAAGAAAGUGAUAGUAUCGCAAGAGGAAGAGACGGCUAACUCUGUGCCAGCAGCCGCGGUAAUACAGAGGUCUCAAGCGUUGUUCGGAUUCAUUGGGCGUAAAGGGUGCGUAGGUGGCGUGGAAAGUUGAGUGUGAAAUCCUAGGGCUUAACCUUAGAACUGCACUCAAUACUCCCAUGCUAGAGGAAUGGAGAGGAGAGUGGAAUUCACGGUGUAGCAGUGAAAUGCGUAGAUAUCGUGAGGAAGACCAGUUGCGAAGGCGACUCUCUGGGCAUUUCCUGACACUGAGGCACGAAGGCCAGGGGAGCAAACGGGAUUAGAUACCCCGGUAGUCCUGGCAGUAAACGGUGCACAUUUGGUGUGGGCGGGUUCAGACCCCGUCCGUGCCGGAGCUAACGCGUUAAAUGUGCCGCCUGGGAAGUACGGUCGCAAGAUUAAAACUCAAAGAAAUUGACGGGGGNCCGCACNAGCNGNUGGAGUAUGUGGCUUNAUUCGAUGCAACG
rnacentral:rRNA from 1 species